UGCUUCCUACGGGGGGCAGCAGUGGGGAAUAUUGCACAAUGGGGGGAACCCUGAUGCAGCGACGCCGCGUGGGUGAAGGAGUACUUCGGUACGUAAAGCCCUAUCAGCAGGAAAGAAAAUGACGGUACCUGACUAAGAAGCCCCGGCUAACUACGUGCCAGCAGCCGCGGUAAUACGUAGGGGGCAAGCGUUAUCCGGAUUUACUGGGUGUAAAGGGAGCGUAGACGGCAGUGCAAGUCCGGAGUGAAAGUCCGGGGCUCAACCCUGGGACUGCUCUGGCAAAUGUAAAGCUG
rnacentral:rRNA from 1 species